CUCCAGUGAAGACCUCUCGUUAGAACCACGUGUCCAAACAACUGAUAAAAAUGCUGGGAGUGAGGAACAGAGGAG
ensembl:snoRNA